GAAAGGUCAGGUGAUCGCAUAGGCCACUUGAUUGGUCCAUAUUUGCCCAUCCAGCGAUCAGGGAAUUCCUUGUCCAGGUAAUGUCGAACGGGAACAGUGGACAGAGCCAACCUUGUGUCUUGUUGGUACCAGAUAGCUGGACCCUGAUUGUUAAAAGUACAACAUUCAAUUGAGCAAAUAUGAUAAACAAAAAAAAAAGCGGAUGGUGCACCAAUGAAGCAGCUUGCAUCCACAUCAGAAAUGAGCUUGUUCAUGGCACAUAUACGCAACUAAUCGUCGUGUGACAGUGUAAAUGUUUGAUUGAGUCUAAAUAAGUUUGGAUACACAAGUAAUCAUAUUAUAUGCGUAUAUCCUAUAGUCUUCUGAAUAUUCGGAUUAAUAUUUCAAUAAGAUAGCCGAAGCAUGUAUUGUCCAUGAGAUUAUAAUUCAUUGAUCAUAAGUAUGAGCGUAUCUGUCAAAGUAAAUCGAUAACGAGCUUCACAGUGUACUCAUAUGUAUUUUAAACGAUUGAUUGAUUAAACAUCAACUACUGCUGCCAUAA